GAUUGCCUCAGUAACGGCGAGUGAAGCGGCAACAGCUCAAAUUUGAAAUCUGGCUCUUUCAGGGUCCGAGUUGUAAUUUGUAGAGGAUGCUUCGGGUGUGGCUCCGGUCUAAGUUCCUUGGAACAGGACGUCAUAGAGGGUGAGAAUCCCGUAUGUGACUGGUUGCCUAUGCUCAUGUGAAGCUCCUUCGACGAGUCGAGUUGUUUGGGAAUGCAGCUCAAAAUGGGUGGUAAAUUUCAUCUAAAGCUAAAUAUUGGCCAGAGACCGAUAGCGCACAAGUAGAGUGAUCGAAAGAUGAAAAGCACUUUGGAAAGAGAGUUAAACAGUACGUGAAAUUGUUGAAAGGGAAGCGCUUGCAACCAGACUUGCACGUAGUUAAUCAACCGGUGUUCUCACUGGUGCACUUGAUUACGUUCAGGCCAGCAUCGGUUUCGGUGGUUGGAUAAAGGCCGGGGGAAUGUGGCUUCUUUCGGGGAGUGUUAUAGCCCUCGGUGCAAUGCAGCCUACCGGGACCGAGGACCGCGCUUCGGCUAGGAUGCUGGCGUAAUGGUUGUAAGCGACCCGUCUUGAAACACGGACCAAGGAGUCUAACAUCUAUGCGAGUGUUUGGGUGUUAAACCCAUACGCGUAAUGAAAGUGAACGGAGGUGAGAACCCUUAAGGGUGCAUCAUCGACCGAUCCUGAUGUCUUCGGAUGGAUUUGAGUAAGAGCAUAGCUGUUGGGACCCGAAAGAUGGUGAACUAUGCCUGAAUAGGGUGAAGCCAGAGGAAACUCUGGUGGAGGCUCGCAGCGGUUCUGACGUGCAAAUCGAUCGUCAAAUUUGGGUAUAGGGCG
rnacentral:rRNA from 1 species